UCAGUUGUGCUACGUAAUUC
rnacentral:misc_RNA from 1 species